GGACUACCGGGGUAUCUAAUCCUGUUCGCUCCCCUAGCUUUCGCACCUCAGCGUCAGUUCAUCGCCAGGACACUGCCUUCGCCUUUGGUGUUCUUCCGGAUCUCUACGCAUUUCACCACUCCACCCGGAAUUCCGUGUCCCUCUCGAUGCCUCAAGUCCAGCCGUUUUGCAGGCACUCUCUCGGUUGAGCCAAGAGCUGUCACCCCCAACGCGCUGGACCGCCUGCGUGCGCUUUACGCCCAGUAACUCCGGACAACGCUCGCCCCCUACGUAUUACCGCGGCGGCUGGCAC
rnacentral:rRNA from 1 species